rnacentral:snoRNA from 1 species
GAAAUCAUACUAUACAGAAUCAUUUCUGCAGUGUGUAUUUCACAGUACCAAAACUACUUUUAGAUUUUUUAUAUG